rnacentral:snRNA from 1 species
GUGCUCGCUUCAGCAGCACAUAUACUAAAAUUGGAACAAUACAGAGAAGCUUAGCAUGGCCCCUGCGCAAGGAUGACACGCAAAUUCGUGAAGUGUUCCAUAUUUUU